GGUUGGAACAGUGCAAUGUUUCCUCUCUUGGAUUGCAGUGACCAGACAUGCUACUGUAACUCUCAUGGUCAUGUGCUGGAAUUAGCAGAUGUUCAACUAUUUGGCCAUCUCACUGACCUGUUGAUAUCAGAAGACCACAACAGCUCUGCAAUGCAAGUUGCAAAACAGAAUCCAUGAAACUGGCAGUGACCGGAAACCAAUUGGAAGACUUUGGUUUAUGAUGUAGAGAAGUGGGCAGACGCAGAAGCAAAGACAACAAAAAACAGAAGUGAUAUGGAUGUCUUCGCCUUAUAGCAUGACACUGUCGAUCUAACAACAAUGAGAAGGGCGUUCAACAUUAUCCUGCUAGUAAGGACUCUUCAAGAGAACAGAGGAUUCUUGUGGCAGAGAUGGCCAACCAUUAUAAAUACCAAAUACCUUUCAACUCAUCCUGGUUCCUUCAGAGAACUGUCCUGCGUGUGUGCUACUGAAAAAUACGACAUGUGGCCUAAACAAAGAGGGGUUAAAAGGUCUGUGGAUCAUCAUUCUCAGAAAGCAACAAAAUAACUGAGAAAAAAAAAAACUACGACACGAGGGUGCAAGCUAGAGACCUGCAAGGUACCUGCAUGUUUUGGCCGGAGCAGAGAACAUACAUUUUUUAAAUAAAGCUCCAACUGAUGAAUAUGACAUUGACUACAGAUUUUCUUUUACUGUAAAGAAAGAAGACGAUGACCUUAACACUGAAUC